GCUACCGUCUUAGCUAGGCCAGAAGCGACCCUACAUGGCAUCAAAUGUAGGUUGUUGUGUGCGCGUCUAGCGGGCGGCGGAGUGCGGCCUACCCAAGUGCACUGGGCUAUGAGUCUUGUUUCGUGUUCUAUCAACUCCGGUGGUAUUGUGGGAGGGAGGUGUUGUGUUGCCAAUCAACCCGACAGUUAACCCAUCCGGGUAGGUAACCCAGUAGGGAGAAGUGUGAACUGUCGGUAGUUAGGGU